rnacentral:lncRNA from 1 species
GGCUGGGAGCCCAGACUCCUGAAUCCUUGAAGGAGGGGGCUGGGACCUGGAUCCCGGGGUCCAGAAUCUGGAGAAGGCUGGGGACACUUCCUGGAUUCAAGAGGGAGGACAGAGAUGGGGGCUGGGGCUGGUAGGAUCGUGGCUGGAAGAGACUAGGGGCGAGCUGCCCGAGCCCUCGGGGGAGGUGGAGGAAGACUGGCUUUGGAGUGCCUGCGGCAGCGGAAGGGUUAACGUCUGGCUGGAGGGGAGGGGGAGGCGCAGGGAUGGGGCUGCGGGGCUUUGAGGGGUCAAGGGUGAGCCGUGCCAGUGGGAGGGGGCCGAGGAGGAGGGGGAGGUUGUCUGGGCUGCCAGACAGGCCAGGGUCAGCGGCGGGGGCAGGAGAUGUCUGGAGGAGGAGAGGCCCAGCAUCCAUGCUCCCUCGGGGACCCGGGAUUCCAGGUCCCAGACCCCUCCUCCCUCAGAUCUGGGAGUACACCACCCAGUCCCCCACCCAUUCCAGAAUCCGAGCCCCCAGCCCCCUUUUUUCCAGGAUCCAGGAGUCUGAGCCCCCAGUCUGUUCUCUCAGACCAGGGAAUCCACACUCCAGCCCCUAACUCCUUCAAAACCCCAGAGUUCAGAACCUCAGCCCCUCUUCCCAAGGAGCGCGGCCCCCAACCCUCUGUUCCUCUAGAACCCAAGCGUUCAGGCUCCGGCAUCUUUCUCCCUUUGAAGCCUGCAGUUCUGGGGAUCCCCAGGCCCCUCCUCCUCCGGAACCCAGGAGUCCCCACCUCCUCUUUAGCCCCAGCUGGAGUCCAGCCCUCCAGGGGUUAAGGGGGCGGGACCAGCUAGUUGCCAUGGUGCCAGACUGUUUGGGUCUGCUCUCUGACCCUUGGGGGCUCCCCAGGGUCCGCAGAGAGGGGGAGGGGGACCUAGGCCUGGGGGAAGUCCAGAGCCUACCCCUUCCCCAAAGCGGGGCUAUGGGCCCAGGGAGUUCGCGUUUCCACCAACGCCUUGUCCAGUGACCUUGAACAAGUCCUGACCCUUCUCUCUCCGCCUCAGUUUCCCCAAGGAGACACUGGUUGGCGGGUGGGGGAGAUGCUUAGGUCCGGGGAAUCUCUGAGAUUCUCGGCUUCCCCUCUCCCCUCACCCUCCUCCUCAGGCCCCAGGCAGCCCCGGGGCAUGCUGGGAACCCAGGCCUGGGCUCCGGGCCAGGUUGGUGUGGGGGGGUGGGGGCGGGGGCAGCCUCCUCCCUUCCCCUUCCUCCCCACCUUGGCCUGACUCUCGCCCCCGCCUGAGGGUCUGGGAGGUUGGGAAGGAGGGAAGGGGGAAGAGAGCUGGCCGUAGACCCGUCUCCGGCCCCCGCCUCCCCCUUUCCUCCUCCGCCCCUUUCCCGCCUCUCCUCCCCCUCCUCAGGUCGCUACCCCAGCCCUGGGCCCCUUCUCAAACCACCCCCACCCCACCCCCAGCUCCAGACCUGGCUCGAGCUGCGAGGGGGAGGGAGAGAGGGAAGGAGAAAAGAGAGAGAGAGAAGGGAGGGAGACCCAAAGAGAGAAGGGGGAGGGGAGGAAAGAGAGAGACCUAAGAGGGAGGGAAGGAGAGAGAGAGGGAGAGAGACAGAGACUGAGAGAGAGCAGGAGACGGAGACUAUGAUGAGAGAAGCCACCUGCAUGACACCUUCACCCAGAUGACCCAUGCCCUGCAGGAGCUGGCUGCUGCCC